AUUGAACGCUGGCGGCAUGCCUUACACAUGCAAGUCGAACGGUAACGGGCCUUCGGGUGCCGACGAGUGGCGAACGGGUGAGUAAUGCAUCGGAACGUACCUUUCAGUGGGGGAUAACGUAGCGAAAGUUACGCUAAUACCGCAUAUUCUGUGAGCAGGAAAGCAGGGGAUCGCAAGACCUUGCGCUGAUUGAGCGGCCGAUGUCAGAUUAGCUAGUUGGUGAGGUAAAGGCUUACCAAGGCGACGACGGGUAGCCGGUCUGAGAGGAUGUACGGCCACACUGGGACUGAGAUACGGCCCAGACUCCUACGGGAGGCAGCAGUUGGGAAUCUUAGGCAAUGGACGAAAGUCUGACCUAGCGACGCCGCGUGAGGGAAGAAGGCCUUCGGGUUGUAAACCUCUGUCAGUGGGGGAAGAAGGAAGUGACGGUACCCCAAGAGGAAGCCCCUGCUAACUACGUGCCAGCAGCCGACGGUAAAGAGUAGUACA
rnacentral:rRNA from 1 species